rnacentral:misc_RNA from 1 species
AUGAGAAAAAAGAUGUAGCCUUUUAAGUUAUUUUCCUCCUCUUCCUUUCUUCACUUUCUUCCUUUUAACUUCUAAUUCUUAAAAUCUUCUACUUCUUAAAUUUUAACAAGUAAAAAGAUACCUCUUGAUAUCCUCACUGCUUGUUUACAGCGUUGUAUCUGAAGCUCUGGGGAACAUAAAGAAUCAAACCCUCAAGCAUAUAACAGAAAUAAAAGAUGUCCAAAUAACUCAAAAAAUAUUUAUACCUGAUGGGGUCUCAAUGAAUUGA